rnacentral:rRNA from 1 species
UGGGGAAUAUUGCACAAUGGGCGCAAGCCUGAUGCACCCAUGCCGCGUGUAUGAAGAAGGCCUUCGGGUUGUAAAGUACUUUCAGCGGGGAGGAAGGUGUUGAGGUUAAUAACCUCAGCAAUUGACGUUACCCGCAGAAGAAGCACCGGCUAACUCCGUGCCAGCGGCCGCGGUAAUACGGAGGGUGCAAGCGUUAAUCGGAAUUACUGGGCGUAAAGCGCACGCAGGCGGUCUGUCAAGUCGGAUGUGAAAUCCCCGGGCUCAACCUGGGAACUGCAUUCGAAACUGGCAGGCUAGAGUCUUGUAGAGGGGGGUAGAAUUCCAGGUGUAGCGGUGAAAUGCGUAGAGAUCUGGAGGAAUACCGGUGGCGAAGGCGGCCCCCUGGACAAAGACUGACGCUCAGGUGCGAAAGCGUGGGGAGCAAACAGGAUUAGAUACCCUGGUAGUCCACGCCGUAAACGAUGUCGACUUGGUGGUUGUGCCCUUGAGGCGUGGCUUCCGGAGCUAACGCGUUAAGUCGACCGCCUGGGGAGUACGGCCGCAAGGUUAAAACUCAAAUGAAUUGACGGGGGCCCGCACAAGCGGUGGAGCAUGUGGUUUAAUUCGAUGC